UGCCGCGCAGUUAGUUUAUUCAAGGUGGUCAACAGUGGCUCCAUAAGUCAUGACGAGGAUGCUCGCGACUAGAACUUCCAUUGUAAUAAUCGUAGUUGUCUUAUUCGCCUUUUUUUUCUCAUUCUGAAGCUUGGAGGAGACGUCGUCGUCGAAGAUGUACACCGAGAGACUGUGAGGUUAGUUCGUGGUCGUCAUAGAAUCAGUGCACCGCAAACCAAUGCGGACAGAGAGGGUCUCAAUCUCGAUCAAGAACGGAAAUAUCUUCCACGUCUUGUGGAGGAGCACAAUGCCCUGAACUUUACGAAACACGGCAGUGUUACUCAGCCAAACCAUCUGACUGCGUAGUUGGUCCGUGGUCUGAGUGGAGCGCUUGCACAACUCCUUAUGGAGUGUCAGGAAUACAGACCAGUCUCCGUCACAGAACAACUGUGGAGCAAUGCCGUGGAACAUGUACAUCUACUUUCUCGAAAACACGAUCCUGCCCAGAAAUCAGUCGUUUAAAUGGAGGAAGCGUGAAAGAUGGAACAUGCUUCUGUAAGGAAGGUUAUGGUGGAGAUUGCUGCGAGAAAGGAGGAGAAAAUAAAGGUGUGCUUGCAGGUAUCUUAACACCUUGUUUGAUUGUUGCUCUCGUUGGUGCAGUCGUGUUCUAUGUACUUCAUAAAAAAGGGAAGUGUUGAGUAAUGGAGCGCGAUCCUGAGAUCGAAGAAUGCAGUUCAGUUCACAAAUGUAAAACUACAAUCGAAUGACCACACGCCAAUGUAGCAACGAUCACGAAAGAAAUGCAGUUUGCCGAAUCCACAGUAAAACGGAAAAGAAGUUCAUUACGAUGGCUUUUCUAUCUUUAGGAAGCAUCUAGUGCAUGCCAUCGAAAAAUGCACAAGUAGGCAGCAGUGAAGCUCAAUUGAAGCACCACUUAUUGUUGUAAGCAAAUUAUUUUGAAAUGUGCAUAGAAACCUGAGGCUAGUCGUUGACAUAGCUGUCAUUCCUACUGUUAAAUAAUGAAAAUGAAACGUUUGUCAUGUUGAUCUGAA